rnacentral:lncRNA from 1 species
GGCGCCGCCGAGCCCUGCCUGGAUGCUCAGUCAAGGCACUAAGGCAAAAAAAAAAUCAGCAAUUUAUAGAAAGAAGAAGCUAUAGUCUGUCGGGAUAUCCAACACCAACAGUAGGGCUUAUUGAGAGCUCCAUUUCUGGAAAGCGUUGCAAGACUGAGGAAUACCAGACUGCGAAUCACCGGGAACAGUUCCCUUGCAGCACAGAAGCAAUCUCUCUCCCCAUCUUCGCAUAUUCUGAUGGCAAAUCAAAUGGAAGAAAAGAGGAAGCAUGACUGCAGAUCGCAUCAGUUCUCUUUGUGGAUUAUAUUUUCAUUAAAAUGUAUGGAUCUAUCUUUUCCUUGUUCUUAUAUCUAGAUCAUGAGACUUGACUGAGGCUGUA